AACGAACGCUGGCGGCAGGCUUAACACAUGCAAGUCGAGCGAGACCUUCGGGUCUGGCGGCGGACGGGUGAGUAACGCGUGGGAACGUGCCCUUCUCUACGGAAUAGCCCCGGGAAACUGGGAGUAAUACCGUAUACGCCCUUUGGGGGAAAGAUUUAUCGGAGAAGGAUCGGCCCGCGUUGGAUUAGGUAGUUGGUGGGGUAAUGGCCCACCAAGCCGACGAUCCAUAGCUGGUUUGAGAGGAUGAUCAGCCACACUGGGACUGAGACACGGCCCAGACUCCUACGGGAGGCAGCAGUGGGGAAUCUUAGACAAUGGGGGCAACCCUGAUCUAGCCAUGCCGCGUGAGUGAUGAAGGCCUUAGGGUUGUAAAGCUCUUUCAGCUGGGAAGAUAAUGACGGUACCAGCAGAAGAAGCCCCGGCUAACUCCGUG
rnacentral:rRNA from 1 species